GGGGGUAUAGCUCAGUGGUAGAGCGCUCCCUUAGCAUGGGAGAGGGCUGAGGUUCAAUUCCCCAUACCUCCA
rnacentral:tRNA from 1 species